ensembl:miRNA
UAGGUUGGUGCAAAAGUAAUUGUGGUUUUUGCCGUUGAAAGUCAUGGCAAAAACUGCAAUUACGUUUGCAUCAACCUAAUA